rnacentral:rRNA from 1 species
CGCUCCUACACUUCACCCUUUGCCUAUACGUACCCUUAUAGCUUCCUCGGCAGGCUCGCCUGCCGCCAGGAACCAACCAAACCCUUUGCAUUAUACAUGAAAACUUCUGAUACAAACCUAAAUUAUCACAACUUUCAACAAUGGAUCUCUUGGUUCUGGCAUCGAUGAAGAACGCAGCGAAAUGCGAUAAGUAGUGUGAAUUGCAGAAUUCAGUGAAUCAUCGAAUCUUUGAACGCACAUUGCGCCCCUCGGUAUUCCGUGGGGCAUGCCUGUUCGAGCGUCAUUUACACCCUCAAGCUACGCUUGGUGUUGGGCGUCUGUCCCGCCUCUGUGCGCGGACUCGCCUCAAAGUCAUUGGCAGCGGUCUCGCCGGCUCCUCGCGCAGCACAUUUGCGCUUCUCGGAGAAAACGGUGGAUCCGCGCUCCAGCAAGACCUUUCAUGACUUGACCUCGGAUCAGGUAGGGAUACCCGCUGAACUUAAGCAUAUCUAG